rnacentral:lncRNA from 1 species
AGGAAUGACAAUUAUUUGACUAAACAAGAAAGAGAACUUGUACUCAAAUAGUCGUGGAGAAAAAAUUGAAGACUCAAAGUUAUCUCCCUUCUGGUUUCUUGUUGUAAAAGGAUUUGAUUUGUUUGUGCUUAAGUGGAUAGAGGUGACGACUAUUUGACUAACCGAGUAAGAAAGCUCGUAUUCAAAUAAUCGAGGAGAGGAGUUGAAAACUCAAAACCAUCCCCCUUUUCAUUUCCAAAUGAAAUGGUAUUUGAUUGUGAUUAGGUAUUUUAAUUUAAUUUUAAUAAAGAAUACUCGAUGUAUUUCCAAAUGAAAUGGUAUUUGAUUGUGAUUAGGUAUUUUAAUUUAAUUUUAAUAAAGAAUACUCGAUGUUGGAUCGAGGUUUUAAAUUUGUGUUUUAUGAAUGAAGUGGAUUUUAUUUAGUGAGUCGUUCAUCUAAUCGAUCAAUUAAUAAUCGAAUAGGUCUCAUUGUAAGAAAGCCCAAGAGUAAGCCAUGUGAGGUUGGUGGUGAUGCUUUAAAAGCUAUCGACUUACAAAGGUGUUUGGAAAUGGGCUCGACUUCAAAUCGAGAAGUGUUUGAUUUGUUUCUUAAAUUGGUUUGAAUAAUUUUGAAUUGAUGAUAAAAUUGAGUGAAAUCGAAUUUGUAUUAAUAUGAUCAUUUACAUGAGCGAGGGUAUAGACAUGGGUUACUUAAUUAAAUGACUAACAUGCUAAAAUUGUUUAAACAAAAAUCAAAUAAUUCCACUUAAGAAAAUAAAUAAAAAAUAGCUUAUGCACAUCUAUCUGUAGUGCCAUCAACCUAUAUCAGGUUCAUACAGUGUAUAUCUCUUGGAAUUCUCAAUUUUCCCUUAAUGGUCUAAAAAAAAUCAACUAAAAUAUGACGUAAGAGGCACAUGUCAAUUGUAUGUCCCAUCCUAUUUCGGCUACAAACCAAUUGAAUGCAUAUUUGAAACAAAAGCAAUAUUAUAAAUUAAUAUGCCAGAC